UACGGGGGGGGCAAGCGUUGUUCGGAAUUACUGGGCGUAAAGGGCGCGUAGGCGGUGCUCUAAGUCGGAUGUGAAAACUCUGGGCUCAACCCAGAGCCUGCAUCCGAAACUGGAGUGCUAGAGUUCUGGAGGGGGUAGCGGAAUUCCUGGUGUAGCGGUGAAAUGCGUAGAUAUCAGGAGGAACACCGGUGGCGAAGGCGGGUCUCUGGGCAGUAACUGACGCUGAGGAGCGAAAAGCGUGGGGGAGCGAAACAGG
rnacentral:rRNA from 1 species